rnacentral:rRNA from 1 species
CGGAGAGAGAGCCUGAUAAACGGCUACCACAUCCAAGGAAGGCAGCAGGCGCGUAAAUUACCCAAUCCUGAUACAGGGAGGUAGUGACAAUAAAUAACAAUGCCGGGCCAUCAUUGGUCUGGCAAUUGGAAUGAGAACAAUUUAAAUCCCUUAUCGAGGAUCAAUUGGAGGGCAAGUCUGGUGCCAGCAGCCGCGGUAAUUCCAGCUCCAAUAGCGUAUAUUAAAGUUGUUGCAGUUAAAAAGCUCGUAGUUGGAUUUGUGGCGUACGGUGUGUUCCGGGCACUUGUUGUCUGAGUAACCUGCCGUUGCCAUCCUUGGGUGGAACCUGUGUGGCAUUAGGUUGUCGUGCANGGGAUGCCCAUCAUUUACUGUGAAAAAAUUAGAGUGUUCAAAGCANGCUUAUGCCCGUUGAAUAUAUUAGCAUGGAAUAAUAAGAUAGGACUUGUUUGCUAUUUUGUUGGUUUGCGCAAAUAG